rnacentral:rRNA from 1 species
AUUGAACGCUGGCGGCAGGCCUAACACAUGCAAGUCGAGCGGUAGCACAGAGAGCUUGCUCUCGGGUGACGAGCGGCGGACGGGUGAGUAAUGUCUGGGAAGCUGCCUGGUGGAGGGGGAUAACUACUGGAAACGGUAGCUAAUACCGCAUAACGUCGCAAGACCAAAGUGGGGGACCUUCGGGCCUCAUGCCAUCAGAUGUGCCCAGAUGGGAUUAGCUGGUAGGUGGGGUAACGGCUCACCUAGGCGACGAUCCCUAGCUGGUCUGAGAGGAUGACCAGCCACACUGGAACUGAGACACGGUCCAGACUCCUACGGGAGGCAGCAGUGGGGAAUAUUGCACAAUGGGCGCAAGCCUGAUGCAGCCAUGCCGCGUGUGUGAAGAAGGCCUUCGGGUUGUAAAGCACUUUCAGCGGGGAGGAAGGCGGUGAGGUUAAUAACCUCACUGAUUGACGUUACCCGCAGAAGAAGCACCGGCUAACUCCGUGCCAGCCGCCGCCGUAA